GGCGGGAGCCGGGCUGGGGUCAAGGUCGGCGCGGGCAAGCGGUGGGGGCCCGCAUGCGCCUCACCCGGCCCAGCGCUUUGCAGCUGCUGUCACGCGCGCACACUCAGGCUUGGCCGGAGCCUGCCGCGUGCUGGCAGCUGAAAUCCAGGCGUUUCCACGGUUGCAGUAGCUGUGAGAUCCCAGCAGAGUAUCCACCUCACGCAGGGAACCCAAGCCAGACGGUAAAAAGAGGACCUUGAGCUGUAUGUCUGACUCACUCCCAGUGAUGGGCACUCAGCACGAAGCUGCCUCGGGAAAUCAGGCCACUCCAUCCAUCUGACUGGGCUGCUGGGCGCCGCUUUCAUCUCUGUCCUUGGCUGGGGGUAGGCUGUCCAUCUCUACAAGAUGGAAACAGCACUUUGAACUGCAUGGAAAAAAUGUACAGAGAGGAGACAAAUAUUCUUGGCCAAGCUUUCAGAGGAAAUAUAAGGUAUGUUAAAAUAUGUCCCUGAUGAUAAUCAGCACUGGAAAUUCAAAAGGUGUUACCUUGAAUAAAUGUUAUUUUUCACAUUUCUGACUGUCUUCU
rnacentral:lncRNA from 1 species